CCUACGGGAGGCAGCAGUGGGGAAUAUUGCACAAUGGGGGAAACUCUGAUGCAGCGACGCCGCGUGAGUGAAGAAGUAUUUCGGUAUGUAAAGCUCUAUCAGCAGGGAAGAAAAUGACGGUACCUGAUUAAGAAGCCCCGGCUAACUACGUGCCAGCAGCCGCGGUAAUACGUAGGGGGCAAGCGUUAUCCGGAUUCACUGGGUGUAAAGGGAGCGUAGAGGGCAGCACAAGUCUGGAGUGAAAUGCCGGGGCUUAACCCCGGAACUGCUUUGGAAACUGUGCAGCUAGAGUGCAGGAGAGGUAAGUGGAAUGCAUGGUGUAGCGGUGAAAUGCGUAGAUAUUAGAAGGAACACCAGUGGCGAAGGCGGCUUACUGGACUGUAACUGACGUUGAGGCUCGAAAGCGUGGGGAGCAAACAGGAUUAGAUACCCCAGUAGUC
rnacentral:rRNA from 1 species